GUGCGAAACCGCCCCGCGCUGGGCGGUCGUCAUGACGUGGCGGUCAUGGCCUGAUGAGCAGCCAAGA
rnacentral:hammerhead_ribozyme from 1 species